UACGUAGGGGGCAAGCGUUGUCCGGAUUUAUUGGGCGUAAAGAGCGUGUAGGCGGCCACACAGGUCUGCUGUGAAAACUCGAGGCUCAACCUCGAGCUGUCGGUGGAAACCGUGUGGCUAGAGUCCGGAAGAGGAGAGUGGAAUUCCCGGUGUAGCGGUGAAAUGCGCAGAUAUCGGGAGGAACACCUGUGGCGAAAGCGGCUCACUGGACCAUAACUGACGCUGAUGCACGAAAGCUAGGGGAGCAAACAGG
rnacentral:rRNA from 1 species